rnacentral:rRNA from 1 species
UUCGUAGGUGGCUUGCUAAGUCAGACGUGAAAUCCCUCAGCUUAACUGGGGAACUGCGUCUGAGACUGGUGAGCUUGAGUGCAGGAGAGGAACGCGGAAUUCCAGGUGUAGCGGUGAAAUGCGUAGAUAUCUGGAGGAACACCGGUGGCGAAGGCGGCGUUCUGGACUGCUACUGACACUGAGGAACGAAAGCCAGGGAGCAAACG